CUACGGGAGGCAGCAGUAGGGAAUCUUCCGCAAUGGACGAAAGUCUGACGGAGCAACGCCGCGUGAGUGAUGAAGGUUUUCGGAUCGUAAAGCUCUGUUGUUAGGGAAGAACAAGUACCGUUCAAAUAGGGCGGUACCUUGACGGUACCUAACCAGAAAGCCACGGCUAACUACGUGCCAGCAGCCGCGGUAAUACGUAGGUGGCAAGCGUUGUCCGGAAUUAUUGGGCGUAAAGGGCUCGCAGGCGGUUCCUUAAGUCUGAUGUGAAAGCCCCCGGCUCAACCGGGGAGGGUCAUUGGAAACUGGGGAACUUGAGUGCAGAAGAGGAGAGUGGAAUUCCACGUGUAGCGGUGAAAUGCGUAGAGAUGUGGAGGAACACCAGUGGCGAAGGCGACUCUCUGGUCUGUAACUGACGCUGAGGAGCGAAAGCGUGGGGAGCGAACAGGAUUAGAUACCCUGGUAGUCCACGCCGUAAACGAUGAGUGCUAAGUGUUAGGGGGUUUCCGCCCCUUAGUGCUGCAGCUAACGCAUUAAGCACUCCGCCUGGGGAGUACGGUCGCAAGACUGAAACUCAAAGGAAUUGACGG
rnacentral:rRNA from 1 species